CGCAGGUCGGCAGUUGGCUCCUUUUGGUGUCAGGUGAUUUGACUGGGCGGGUCCAAUACCAGCCGGACUCACCUUGCCUUUAGGCUUGGGGUUCUGCCGGCUGUGAGGGUUGGCUGUUUAACUCACUUUAAGCAAUAAAUUCUGAAUGCAGAUCUACUGGCUGGCUUUGCUGGCUGUAGACUGAUUAAUACAGA
rnacentral:snoRNA from 1 species